UCCGUACCAAAAAAGGACAAAGUGUCAAUUUUAGAAUACAAUGUAAUGGACACACAGCCCAUCUAAUCCUCCGGGAAUUCUAAAUUCUACUUUUUCUAUCAUGUUUUACAGGUCAUCAGAGAGCAACAUGCCCAAAUCACUUCCCCUGGGAAUCUGUCUGUGACUACGGAGACCUCACACCAUGAGAAGGGACUAUACCCCCUUGGCCCAUGCACCUGUUAGGCUCCCUCACCUGACCAUUAGAGAGCACCUUGACAGAGAGCUGUUAGGGGCUGCCCAUCCUCUGUGUGUCUGAUGAUCAAAGUAAAGAACUCUAGUUUGUCUUAGUUUUUAAACUCCUUAAAGUUUUUCUAAGGGUAGCUUCAGGCAGAGGGAAAGGAAAUGUUUUCAUAGAUCUGCUGGGCAUUUGGGGAUUUUGAAUUUCUUUGGAAUUCAGAGACCUUAGCAUUUUGUGGUAUCCCAUCCCCUUUGGGUAUCUUUAUGUUAUGCGGGUUCCCAUUUGCUUUCCUCUGUGUAGCUAAUUAAGCACUUCAUGCAUUAGUUGCAUAGAGGCUAAUUACGACAGAUGAUGUUUUAGCUAUGGCACCUGUAUGUAGAGCUCCCUGUAGACAAGAUGGCCUGUUUGUUUUUGCAGAGACCAAACAAUCUUAAUUUUGAGAAUACCAAAAUGAAAUGGAAGACAUUUUUGCACACACAGUGAGGAAAUAGUGGAAGACGCUGGCAAUCCACAGCCAAGUCCAGUAGCCAAAGGGUUUCCAGAAGGACUCUGACAUUUCUUCCUAAGGAACCCAUUGGCUGUGGUCCUUUAGGAAUUCUAAAUGCCUUAACUGAAAUAUUUGUUAAUAUUAUAGAAAAGAAGUAUUAGUCCAUUUUCACGCUGUGAUAAAGACAUACCUGAGACUGGGCAAUUUACAAAAUAAGGAGGUUUAAUGGACUUACAGUUCCACAUGGCUGGGGAGGCCUCACAAUCAUGGCAGAAGGCAAGGAGGAGAAAGUCACGUCUUACAUAGAUGGAGGCAGACAGAGAGCUUGUGUGGGAAACUUCCAUUUUUAAAACCAUCAGAUCUCGUAAGACUUAUUCACUAUCACUAUAACAGGAUGGGAAACACCCACCCCCAUAAUAUAAUUACCUCCCACUGGGAUGUGGGAAUUGUGGGCGUUACAAUUCAAGAUGACAUUUGGGUGGGGACACAGCCAAACCAUAUCAGAAAUCCACAAUUAUUUUGAUAGAGAAAAACUCUUUGAUGCAGUGCAAAGGGUAGCCUUGGUAGGUGCCCCCCAUCCAGCUCAGUCCCAGCCCCUUGUGAGCCCCCACCCUGCUCACUCUCCCCCUCCUCGAAGACUCAUUUGUCACCAUUGUGUGGGUGUCAUGUUCGGUGAUGAAGUGCAUUCUCGCUCUUUGCCUUGGCAGCUGUGUGCAGGAACAGGCAUGGCCACAGAGGUGAGAGGGAGGCUGGGCUUCUCAUUGCUCAAGGCUCAUGAAUCAUGUCAGGCGGGUUGGUAACCUGAACCCAUCUCACCCCUUGCCACAGACCUCCAUGACAUUCCUUCCAACUUAAUUUCAGCCUAAGGGAUGCUUUUAAGAAGAUUUUAGAGCACGAAAAGAUCUCUUCAAAAGAAUUGUAGUUGCAUUAAAAAGUAAUUAUCAGAGCUUAGGGGUAUAGAUCUGCUGCCAUAUUUUACGUAGAGAGUAAUUCAUCUCCCAGACCCUGAAACAUCAUUACAUAAUAGGUUAAGGACACCAACCCAGGUGAUACUGGGAAAAAGGUAGUAAAAUCACCAAACCCCUGGAAAUGAUGAGCAAUAUGAUUAUGACAAAAUAGCUCUGCCCUCCCGCUACAGCAGUUUCCAAUAUAACACAAUUUAAAAAUAGCACAUCCUCAAUGAGCCCAUGCAUAAAAGUGUGGGCAAAUGCAGUUUAUCUGGGACCCCCAGGCUAAAUGUGAUAUUUAUCUUUGAAAGACUUGGCCUUUUUGGCAUAAAGAACCAGAUAUUAUAAUGAGAAAAAAGAUGACAUGUUUCCAAGUGUCCAUGUCAUAUACAGCACUGUGCCAAGUAUUCACAUGUGUUAUUUGAGUCUUACAGUAAACUAAUAAAGGUGACUAUUGCUAUUUAUUCCUAUUCUACAGUUGAGGAGUCUGUGAGAAUCAGAAUGUUUUUGGUUGUAGAUAACAGGAAACAACUCCAAUUGGCUUAAACAAGAAUGUAUUGUUUCAAGUAACUCAAAGAUCCAAAGUGAAUGGUAGGCUUGAGUCAGAAAGUCAACAGUGAUAUCACAGACCCAGUUUCUUUUUGUGUCUCUGCUUUCUAGAAGUGCCACUUCAUCCUUUCAUGGUUCCAAGAUGGCUGCCAGAAGCGCCCAGGACACCAUGCUUCCUUGCUUACAUCCAGUGAGAUGUUUUUGUCCCAACAUUUCUUUGAGUCCUUGUGAUUGGAUUAGCUUAGGUCACAUGGUUAUGGUGGAAUCAGUGACAUGGUCUGGGUGAUGGAAUGAGUUGAUUGACUUAAUUUAGAUCACUUGUGCUACCCCUGGAGCUGAUCGUUAGAGUCAUUAUUUGAUAUGGUUUGACUCUGUGUUCCCACCUAAAUCUCAUCUCAAAUUGCAAACCCCACGUGUUGAGGGAGAGACCUGAUGGUUGGUGAUUGGAUCAUGUUGAUGGUUUCCCCCAUGCUGUUCUCAAAAGAUCUGGUGGUCUUAAAAGUGUGGCACGUCCCGUCUCUCGCUCUUUCCUGCUGCAAUGUAAGACACGCCUUGCUUCCCCUUUGCCUUCCUCCAUGAUUGUAAGUUUCCUGAGGCCUCCCCAGCCAUGUGGAACUGUGAGUCAAUUACAUCUCCUUUCUUUAUAAAUUACCAAGUCUUGGGUAGUUUAUUUAAGCAGUGUGAGAAUGUACUAAUACAGUGUUCUUCAAUCCUUGAGGAUCCCAAAUGGAAGCCCAGGGAAUGGUAGCUGGGGACAACCCCAGAUGUUCACCGGGGACAGGGACAUUAAGUAACUGGUCCAUGAUUCACACAGGUAAUUAGUGACAGAGCCUGAAUUUGAACCCAGAUAGUCUUACUCAAGAGCCCUUUCUCUGACCUGUGGUCCUUCUAGAUUCUCCGACUCUUAAAGUCUUGUAAUAAAUAUCUUACACGUAUAUCUUAUGGUUUCUUCACUAAGAAUGUCACUCUGUACCUAAGUGAUACUAACUUUUGGCAAACAAUAAUUCCAGAAAACCAUAGAAUGUAUCAUCUUAUGGUGUGAAGUGGUAGUAAGGGCACUGGAUUAAGAACUAAGACUUGGUCCCCUGUUAACCUUGGACAUGUUUCUUACCUCCCAGAGCCUCUGUUUUCCUCAUUGGCAAAUGAAGGGUGAUGACUCCCCUUACAUACCUGGCUGUGUGGUUCUAGGGGUCAAGCAAGACAGUUUGAAGAGCCUGAAAAGCACUAAACGUUUAUGAGCACAUAAAUUAUUAUCACUAUACAUAGGAUUGUGAUCUAUUUUGUUCCAAAUAUGAGAACAUAACACUUUUUUUGAAUUUGUUAAAUUUGUUAAAUUUUCUUCAUUUUUUUCUCUCUCUCUCUAGACUCUCUCUCUCUAUGUAUAUAUGUAUAUAUACUGUCUCUCUCUGUCUAUAUAUAUAUACUUGUACUGCUGAACUUAAACAUAUACAUAUACAUACAUACAUAUAUAUGUGUGUGUGUGUGUGUUUAAAUUUAAGUUCAGGGGUACAAGUGCAGGUUAGUUACAUAGGUAAACUUGUGUCAUGGGGGUUUGUUGUACAGAUUAUUUCAUUACCCAGGUAUUAAGUCUAGUACCCAUUAGUUAUUUUUUCGAAUCAUCUCCUUCCUCCC
rnacentral:lncRNA from 10 species